rnacentral:rRNA from 1 species
GACAGAGGGGGCAAGCGUUGCUCGGAAUUACUGGGCGUAAAGGGCGCGUAGGCGGGAUGGCAAGUCGGUCGUGAAAUCCUUCGGCUCAACCGAAGAACGUCGAUCGAUACUGCUGUUCUAGAGGAUUGCAGAGGAGACUGGAAUUCCCGGUGUAGCGGUGAAAUGCGUAGAUAUCGGGAGGAACAUCAGUGGCGAAGGCGGCUACCUGGCCCAAUACUGACACUCAGGUGCGACAGCGUGGGGAGCAAACAGG